UACAGAGGUGGCGAGCGUUGUUCGGAUUUACUGGGCGUAAAGGGUGCGUAGGCGGCUCCGCAUGUCGGAUGUGAAAUCCCACGGAUCAUCUGUGGAAUGGCAUACGAAACUGCGGGGCUAGAGUGCAGGAGGGGAGGGCGGAAUUCUCGGUGUAGCGGUGAAAUGCGUUGAUAUCGAGAAGAACGCCGGUGGCGAAGGCGGCCCUCUGGACUGCAACUGACGCUGAGGCACGAAAGCUAGGGGAGCAAACAGG
rnacentral:rRNA from 1 species